GUAAUGAGACUUGUUCAGUGUGUGUGUGCGUGCGUGCGUGUUUGUGUGUGCGUACGUAUGUGUGUGUGCUUACGUGCGUAGGUAACAGUGUUAUUCUGUGUGUUUAGGCGUAAGCCAAAGAAAGACGGGAUACCGACAUUGUCUGAUUGUCGCCCGCAGGUUGGAAGAAAAAUAAAUGAAGCUGAGAACAGUGGAAAAGUCUCAUUGUGCCGACCCAGAACAGUUACACUGGUGCCGUGAACCUUCGGAUCUUCAGAUCGGCUUGAUGCUCGUCGCCGCGGAUGCUGCGCUGCUGACCUGAUCUACGGUUGAUGAUUAUUGUGUGGUCGGAUCUCAAAACAGUGUGUUUGGAUGGCUCCUUCGUAUGUGGUCGUUGAGUUCCUUGGUGAACGUUCAGUCGCUGUUGUCCCAACCAUAUGGACAAAAGAUGAUGGAAAGAAUACCUUCUGCUAUUGGCCAAAGCCAAAUCCUACCCACUCCAGAAUCCGGAGAGCUGAGAUUCCUGACAAAGAAGUCUGGGAUAGGCUACCAAUUCGGGUUUUCAGGAAAACAUUGACUGAAGACUUUGACAAGGCCCUUCAAUAUGAAAAACAAGCUGAAAUGUUUUCGAGCCCAGAGGAAGAAGAAAUAUCAACCAAACGGAGCCACAUCACCCCUGAACGUUAUAGAAACGAUGAGGAAGAUGUGUUUGAUGCUGACGACGAAGAGGAAAUUCGGGCAAAAAAGAAGUGCAGAAAAGAGAAAUCACAGAUCCUCAUCCAGGCACCCCCACUGCCAGUGCUCCCACCAUUGAACUUUCCAAUCUCCAGCAAGUACCAGACCACUUCAGCCAGUACCAGCCAAUACUACACCACUCCAAGGCAUCCAGGCCGACCUCACAGCCCAGCGAGAAGCAGCACUUACAGGCUCAUUCCAGACAGGAAUCAUGCAUCUAGCUCAAGCCAGUACCAAACCACUCCAGCCAGUAUGAGUCAGUACCAGACCACUCCCAAGAAGCAGCAGGAAUGCCCUUGAAAGUGAACUUUUCCAGUUAAACAUGAAAGUUCAAAAACUAGUUGAGAACCAGGGAGAAAUUAUGCGCAUGCUGAGAGGGCUGGCAGCACAGUCUGUGGGGCCAGAAGCUGUGGAUGUUCAAGAUCUCAUUGAGAAGCCUUUCGAGACUCUUGAGCAGCUUAAGACCUUCAGUGAACAGCUCGACACUGAUCUUCUGCUCAGAAAGCAGCUGGUGAAAGCUCUUACUGCUCUUGGUGGGCAGAAUUUGGCAGACACAGUGAGGACAAUGCUGAGGAAAAUUGCCACAAACAAAGUCCUGGAGCAGCUUGGUCUCCGUGGAAAGACAGGCAAAGUGGCAUUUGAGGACUUGCCCUUUUACAGAAUAAUAAUAAAGGCAUGCAGGGGUGUUCACAAACAGACGACCACAGCUGAAGUAGAUUGUGAGCUUGGAGAGGUCCUGAAACUGGCCACUUUUUGAAAGGGAGGUUCAAAGUUUGAGGAGAAGAGGAGGAAUUAAGAGGAUGCGACGGCGAAGAAGGGCAAAGGGAGGUGUACAAAGGAAAUGGACAGUGAGAUGAGUGACCAGGUAAAUGAUAAAGUAAUUAUGCCAAUGUUUUAAAUCAAUUCAUGAAGAUCCCAGUUCUGUGUUGAAUUUGCAAUUAUAAACACUCGAUUGUAUUGUACAUAUGUCCCGGCAAGAAAUCUGCGUUCAAAGAACUCCGGCUUAUUAUUGAUACCCAGAGCCCAAAAAAAGUCUGCGGACUAUAGAGCGUUUUCUAUUGGGGCUCCAGUACUAUGGAAUGCCCUCCCGGUAACAAUUAGAGAUGCUACCUCAGUAGAAGCAUUUAAGUCCCAUCUUAAAACUCAUUUGUAUACUCUAGCCUUUAAAUAGACCCCCCUUUUAGACCAGUUGAUCUGCCGUUUCUUUUUUCUCCUCUGCUCCCCUCUUCCUUGCAUUCGGUC